CCCAGGAAAUUUGUUGAGAGUUGGACUACAUCCUAAGAUCCAUCCAAGUCUAAAGAAGAUGCCACAAAUACCAUCAAACUGCAAAAUGAAAGGACUGUGAGUCCAGUGGUGGAUUUUUGUAGACUUUAGCAGGGGAUCUUCUCAACCCAGGAAUCAAACCAAGGUCUCCUGUAUUGCAGACAGAUUCUUUACCAACUGAGCUAUCAGGGAAGCUCAACUAUUAAGAGUAUUGUCACCCUGGAUGAGUUGAGUUCCCCACUGUCUUUUCUGCUUGACUGGUAACAAGGUGGCCCCCAUGAACACCAACAGCAAAUGGACCGACUCAAGUCUCCUGGUCUUAACAGCCUGAAGUUCUGCCAGAUUCACCCAUCAGAAAUAAUUUCCUCUUGAAAACCAAUGGCAGUGAAGAUAAACUGAGGCACAGAAGAUUAAGUAAUUUUCCCCAAAAUUCAUAAAUAGAAAAUGACAGAACUUGGCUUCUUAACCACUAUAUUCUAACUGCUUCCAACAGAUGGGAAGAUGGUGGCUUUUAGGUACUAUCUCUAUUUUUGUUCUCUGCAAUCCUUCAUGUAUUACUGUUAACUUUCCAAGAAUCUUAAUCUAUUAAUCAGCAAGUACAUAUUCAGUGCCUGUUAUGUGCCCAGAAUUGUUCUGCUCACUGUAUAACGGUAUAAAGAAAUACAGCCAGGCCAUUUCCUUCAGGGAGUUUACAGCUCUCCAAGAGAAGGCCCCCACAAAUCUGAAAAUAAGCUUAAUGUACAAAGUGGAACCAUCAUUCAGAAAAAUGAAAGCUUGAUUUGAUCUGGGUGCUCAGAAGCCAUGAAAAACUCAUUAAAAACCCUGAUGGUUAUUUAAGAGUUUACUUAGCUGCUGGCUUACCUAUGCUGCCUUUCAUCUCUUCCCUUACCUCCUUUUUUUUUUUUUGCAGCCUAAUUUUAGCUAUUGUACUGUUCAUAAAUAUUUCUUCCACAGAGCAAAUUUUAAAAAAUCAUUUAUUUAUUUGGCUGCAUUGGUCUUAGUUGCAGCACAGGGAACCUUUGUUGCAGCACGUGUGGUUCUCUCGUUGCUACACACAUGUUGCAGUGUGUGUGGGCUCAGUAGCUGUGGCAUGAGGCUUAGAUACCCCACAGCACGUGGGAUCUUAUUUCCCUGACUAGGGAUCGAACCCAUGUCCCCUGCAUUGGAAGGUGGAUUCUUAAUCACUGGACAACCAGGGAAGCCCCCACAGAGCAAAUUAAGAGGAUUGUUUAUAAGCUCAAAACAUCUUUGUGAAAGUUUAAAGUGGGAAGAGUCUCAAAUUCUUGGUCAUAGUGAUAUAUGGAGAUAUAUAUAUAUAUGUGUAUGUGUAUAUAUAUAUAUAUAUAUAUAUAUAUAAAGCUUUAUAGAUAUAUAUACUUUUAUCUCAACUACCUCCUUUCCUUGUCAAGUUACAUAACUAAGAAUGAACAUGUGUUAACAUUAGGUGUUCUCUGUUAUUUCUGGAAUGGCAGUGAGUAAACAAAGGCUUCAUUGAUGUAAUAUUGUCUUUAGGUUGGCUAGCAGAGUAACUGCCUCCCAAUAAAAACCUAGCAAAUUUUUAUUGUUUCAUGGAUUGAAUGCAUGAAAUUAAAGAAAUCCUAGGGUGACUCUUUUUAUAGUUGAUGAAGAAAAUCCUCAUGAGUUUGUAUUAUAAUUUGAAGGGAUUUUCCUAAUGCAAUACAUGUCAACACACCUUAGAGAAAAAGUUGUCAUUGAUCUAUUAUCCUGACACCAAAUCUCUUUUAGGAUUAAGGGACAGGAUUCAUUCACAGUGUCAGACCACUCCCUCCCCAGUGCAAUACAUAGCAGACAUUAGGUGUUUGUUGGUUGGAAAUAUUUGUUAGGUGAAAAAAUGAAUCAUUUGACAGUCUCUAGUUUGAUGGUGAAGAAGUCUAAGUGCUCAAUAACCACUUCUCCCAGUGACAGGUUCUACACAAAACUAACAGUAACAACAGAACAGUGUUUUAGGAGAAACUUGAUAAUGUAGCAGUCAGAUCAUGUACUUUGAAGCCAAGCAGACUAGAGUCUAGUCCUAUCUCUGCCACUUAGGAGCUAGCAUGUGACCCUCAGGGAGGUUGCUUAACCUCUUCAAGUCUCAACUUCCCAAUCUUUCAACUGGGAGCAGUAACAGUAUUCCAUAUGCUUGUUGUGAGGAUUAAAAAAGAUACUCUGCACUGUGACGCAUUACAGUAAGCGCUCAACACACGGUAAAUAAAGUUGUUAUUCUACAAGGAUUUUAGGAGUUGAGGCUGUGGCCAUUUGGAUCUGUAAAGAAUCUUGACAACAGUGGGAAAAUCUAAAACAGAGGAGCUUAUAUACUUCCUGUGUUUCUCUUGUCUUGCUUUAGGAAUUUUGAGUGAUGUAUGUUUGGUAGUAUGAGUAUGUGAAAGGACGCAGAGGUGCAGCGGGACAGGAUCUAGAAAUUCUUUCUACCUUUAGAGAAAUGCCCUCUACCAAGGAUUUAUGCUAACAGGGCCCACAGGCCCACCCUAUCAGCUGAGGAUGAAAACAGCCAGAGACAAUGGGAUAUGACACAGUAAUGAGUUCUCAUUUGUCAGGUGUCUACUUGCCGAUAUGGUCUAAGGAUAUGGUGUUCAAUAAUUUCUAGAAAUUGGUAAUAAUGAUACCAUUUACACGGCAGCUCCUCUGGCAGUUUUCAAAGUGCUUUCACAUACACUCUCUGUUUAAUUUCCACCACCGUGCUAUGAGGAACCUGAAAUAAAUAUUAUCAUUCCCAUUUUAUAGAUGAGUAAAUAUAUUCUGAAAAAUGAAAUGACCACGUCCAAGGUCACACAGCUGCUCAGUAAUCAACCUCAGAUUUAAACCUGAGUUCUCACUCAGGGGUCAUUAAUUUUUUUUCCCACGAAACUAAAGAGCUUGUUUAUUCUACAUAACUCAUGUAGUAUUUUGAAUAUUAAGUGUACUUGCCCCCAUGCUCCCUGGUUUAGUCGGUAAAGAAUCUGCUGCAAUGCAGGAGACCUGGGUUCA